rnacentral:rRNA from 1 species
CAGCCGCCACGGGAAUACGAGGGGAGCUAGCGUUGUUCGGAAUUACUGGGCGUAAAGCGCGCGCAGGUGGUGGUUUAAGUCCGUUGUGAAAGCCCUGGGCUCAACCUGGGAAUUGCAGUGGAUACUGGAUCACUAGAGUGUGGUAGAGGAUAGUGGAAUUUCCGGUGUAGCAGUGAAAUGCGUAGAGAUCGGAAGGAACAUCUGUGGCGAAGGCGACUAUCUGGGCCGACACUGACACUGAGGCACGAAAGCGUGGGGAGCAAACAGGAUUAGAUACCCCAGUAGUCCCUGUCUCUUAUAC